AAUAAUUAACACUACUAAAUAAAACUAUUUACUUCUAUCACUACUAGUAAAAUAUUUAUUUGCUGCUAUUAAUUUGCUACAUUUUUGUUAAAACACUGCAAAUUAAAAUGGGAUUUAAAUGUACAUAAAUCAAAACUAUUAAUUUGCAGGGGUUUUUUUUUAAAGAAUACGCUGAAAAUUAAUAUUUUCCCCUUACCCUAAACCCUCUCAUCCUUACCCACCCUAAUUCAUUUCACUCUCCUUCCCCCUUUCAAUGUUCUGCUUCUUCUGUAAAGAAAAUAAAAAAAAUAAUUAAAAAAAAUAACAUUCUUACUUCAAACUCCACCACCUCACUCUCCACCAUCUCACUUUCCACAACCAUCGCCGACCGUUUCCUCCGCCUCAGUCUUUAUAAACGGCCGCCGCAGGCCCGCAGCCUCACCAUCGAAGUGUAGGACGAAACCCUAAACAGAGUAAACAUUAAACAUAUCAAAUCAAGCAAAAACCAGUCAAUUGCAUAAAAUUAAGGGAAGAAAUAACACUGCUACAAGCUCGGUCCAGUUACGGCCCUCGCGAGGUGCUGCUGUUUGUCUGACUCCUCUGCUGCGUUGUCUCUGUAUGUCUCCUCUGCCUUGUUGCGUCUCCGUGUGUUGAUGAUGAUAUUGCUGCGUUCCUUGAAACCUAUGGAGAUUCAUUAAUUAUCGCUUAAAAACAUCUCCAAGGAAGUUUGUUGAACAAAUGAGAAGUGAAGGCCAAACAUCUUAUCACUUUUGUCCUUGCUAGCUUGGCACUAACUACCUUUAAUUGUGACUCUGUGGUUGGUAUGUAGAUGUGGAUUGAAGUUGGAUGUAUGAUCCACGAAAUUCGAUCGAAUUCUUCAGUGGGGUAGAGGAAUUUUGCAAAGGUGUUUUAGAUCAUCAAUAGCAUAGAGGAUGAUGAAUUUUAUUGUCCUUGCGUCAAUUGCCAAUAUGUUGAAAGGGUGCAUAAUAUCACCACACUUAGGGACCAUAUUAUUCAACGCGGAUUUCGGCAACAACAUCAUGAUUGGUUAUGGCACGGUGAGAGUGGAGUGUUCAGGGAAAUUCUACAUUACAUUCAAUGCAUGACCGACAUGUGCAAUCUAAUGCCGAACUCAAACUUGAACUUGAACUUGAACUUGAACAUCCACAUGUUCAUGAUGAUGAGAUGGUUGGGGUAGGAGAUAAUGGAUCUGAACAAGAUGAGGAUAAUGACUUUGAUGAGGAGUAUAACAUUAGGGAAGACAUUAUAGAAGAAAGAAUAAAGGGGGCUCAGCAUGAAUUUGAUUAACGACCUCAUUUAUCUGAAAAAUUGUUUGAAGCAGUUGAGAAGCAAUUAUACCCUGGAUGUAUUGCAUAUAGCAAUUUAUUCGUUGUGCCAACCUUAUUCAACUUGAAAUCAAAGCAUGGUUUGUCUAACGCAAGCUUUACAUCCUUGCUAGAAGCGAUGCAAGAUAUGCUUCUGAAGGGUCAUGAAUUGCCUAAGUCGACCUACUAUGCCAAGAAGUUAAUGUGCCCGUUUGGUUUGGUGUAUGAGAAAAUAGAUGCUUGUCCUAAUGAUUGUGUAUUGUAUCAAAACGAAUUUUCACAUUUGGAUAAGUGUCCUCGAUGCCAUAAGUCUUGUUACAAUUUACCCGAUGGAGUCCAAUCCGGGGAGGGAAGUAAAGGCCCUUCUUCCAAAGUGCUUUGGUAUAUGCCUAUAAUGCCAAGGUUUCGGUGAUUAUUUUUAAAUAAUGAUGCAAAAAAUUUAAGGUGGCAUGUUGAUUGUAGGAAGAAAGGUGGACUUCUAGGACACCCGGCAGAUUCUCCAAAAUGGACUCUUAUUGACAAUCAAUUUCUAGAAUUUGGCAAAGAAGAAAGGAAUCUUAGGCUUGCCCUAUGUACGGAUGGAAUGAACCCAUUUGGUAGUUUGAGCACACGGCACAUCACAUGGCCAGUUCUCUUGGUUAUUUAUAACCUUCCUCCUUGGUUAUGUAUGAAGUGGAAAUAUAUGAUGAUGCCUUUGCUGAUAUCAGGUCCCAAGCAGCCCGAAAACGAUAUUGAUGUCUACCUUUCUCUACUCAUCGAUGAUUUGAAAAAAAUGUGGGACAAAGGAAUCUCAUUUUUUGAUGCUCAUUAUAAUGAAUCUUUUACCUUGUGAGCUAUGCUUUAUUGUACAAUCAAUGACUUUCCAGUUUAUGGUAAUCUAUCAGGCUAUGAGAUUAAGGGAAAGAAGGCAUGUCCAAUAUGUGAAGACAAUACAGAAUCUACCUAUUUGCCAAAUUCUGGGAAGUAUGUAUAUAGAGCUACUCGAAAGUUCUUUGAUAGGAUGCAUCCUUACCGAAAGAAAAAAGUUGCAUUUAAUGGUAAGGUAGAAGAGGGGAUAGAUCGUAUGCCAUUAUGGGAACAGAAUUUUAUGAUCAAGUUAGAGGUAUUGAAACGAUGUUUGGGAAACUGAAUAAAGCCACCGAUCCCUAGGUCAUUUGGAAGGAGUCAGUGUUUUGGAAGCUUUAAUAUUGGCAACAUUUACCUGUCAGACAUUGUUUAGAUGUCAUGCAUAUAGAGAAGAAUGUGUGUGAUGCCAUUCUCGGUACAUUGUUUAACAUUCCAAACAAGACAAAAUAUGGGGUAAAGGUUCGCAAAAAUAUCUCACUAUAUUCCAUUUUGAAAAAGAUGGGAUUGCAUGGGUAGAUAAGGAGGAUGCCUCUCAUUUCUUAAGAGGAGCGAAGCUGAACAUAUCAAUUAUUCAAGUAUUCAUGAGGUUACUUCAACAAGAUUUGAAAUCAAAAGACAAAGCUUUUGCGGUUUGGUGGUUGUGUCCAGAGCAAACUUGUGAAACCAAAAUGUGUAAGAGCUUGCAUGAAAUUCAUGACUAUGUCUUCAAAGCAGUAAGCAAAUCAGUUGAAAACGGGCAAAAUUCAUUAUGGCACCAAUUUUUCAAGAGGAACAUUGGAUGCUUUUGGUAAUUUGUGUACCUACUUGCAUUAUUUAUCAAUUUGACUCUGCUCGCCCAACAACGACAAGGAGAAGUGUUAAAAUGAAGACUAUUGUGAGCUUUGUGCUCAACAAAGAGAUGGUAUCGAGUGUGGCUUUUACACAAUGAGAUACAUGUAUGACAUACUCUCCAAACACAGUAAAGCAAAUGAUAUUGAUGAGGUAGUCUGGUGAUCAGAAGCUCUAAAUACUUCCUGCCAUAUCGUCCUCGUACGCAUCCUUUGCAAAGUUGGGAACCUCAUCAAAUGAAUUAUUCAUAUAUAAACACUUUUGAACCUAUGCGAGUCAACUGUUGUCCAAAUGCCAUUAUUUUUUGCGUUUGCAAGUCUUUAAAUGAAGAUCCUUACACUGAUGAUGAUAUUGAAGAAGUGCGGAACAUAUGGGCCUCAUAUUUCACUAAUUAUUGCGUGUAAUCAUAGUUUCGCGUCAAUAUUUUGACUUUUGUUUUGGAUUGAUAUUUUUUGUAUAUAGAAAAUCGAAUCGUACAAUACAAUUUAUCAUAUGUAUUGUGGUAAUCUAAUUUUGGGCUAAUUAAAGUAUUUUGUUCAUAAAGUUCGGGAA